GGGGGCGUAAAGGUUUCGACGGGGGCUUUGAAGUGUGAUAAGCGAGCGGAGUACGGCGUGAUCUCCUUAAUCCUCGCCACGUUUAAAUAUAAACGCAAGAAAUAAUAUCACAGUUUCUAGAAAUAGCGAACUGGUAGCUGCUUAAGUCAGCUUCUGUCCGCCGAGAGAGUACCGCGGCUCUCGCUCGGGCAUCGAUUAGCGGUGAACGAUUUACGGGAGUGUCCGUGCCCGUAAAUUGCAUUCGGACUACUUUGGCUCUCAGCCCGCUUACCGGCAGAUUGCCAAGGGAACUUUAAUAGGUAAUAUACGCUCGUAGAAAGUUGCAUGAAUGAACUUUCGGACGGGGGUUCAAUUCCCCCCGCCUCCACCA
rnacentral:tmRNA from 1 species